rnacentral:rRNA from 1 species
UUAAGUGACUAAGCGUACAAGGUGGAUGCCUUGGCAAUCAGAGGCGAAGAAGGACGUGCUAAUCUGCGAAAAGCUUGGAUGAGUCGAUAAGAGGCGUUUAAUCCAAGAUAUCCGAAUGGGGAAACCCAGUAGAUGAAGAAUCUACUAUCAACAAGUGAAUUCAUAGCUUGUUGAGGCAAACCGGGAGAACUGAAACAUCUAAGUACCCCGAGGAAAAGAAAUCAACCGAGAUUUCGUCAGUAGCGGCGAGCGAAAGCGAAAGAGCCAGUAAGUGAUAGCAGUAUAGUUAGGAGAAUGUGUUGGGAAACACAAUCAAAGAGGGUGAUAAUCCCGUAUCUAAAAACCAUAUUGUGGUACUAAGCUAACGAGAAGUAGGGCGGGACACGUGAUAUCCUGUUUGAAGAAGGGGGGACCAUCCUCCAAGGCUAAAUACUCCUGAUUGACCGAUAGUGAACCAGUACUGUGAAGGAAAGGCGAAAAGAACCCCGGUGAGGGGAGUGAAAUAGAACCUGAAACCUUGUACGUACAAGCAGUGGGAGCCUGAAAGGGUGACUGCGUACCUUUUGUAUAAUGGGUCAGCGACUUAUAUUUUGUAGCGAGGUUAACCGAAUAGGGGAGCCGAAGGGAAACCGAGUCUUAACUGGGCGAAGAGUUGCAAGGUAUAGACCCGAAACCCGGUGAUCUAGCCAUGGGCAGGUUGAAGGUUGGGUAACACUAACUGGAGGACCGAACCGACUAAUGUUGAAAAAUUAGCGGAUGACUUGUGGCUGGGGGUGAAAGGCCAAUCAAACCGGGAGAUAGCUGGUUCUCCCCGAAAUCUAUUUAGGUAGAGCCUUGAGGUGACACCUUUGGGGGUAGAGCACUGUUUCGGCUAGGGGUCCAUCCCGGAUUACCAACCCGAUGCAAACUACGAAUACCAAAGAGUGAUACUCAGGAGACACACGGCGGGUGCUAACGUCCGUCGUGGAGAGGGAAACAACCCAGACCGCCAGCUAAGGUCCCAAAGUCUAUAUUAAGUGGGAAACGAAGUGGGAAGGCUUAGACAGCUAGGAUGUUGGCUUAGAAGCAGCCAUCAUUUAAAGAAAGCGUAAUAGCUCACUAGUCGAGUCGGCCUGCGCGGAAGAUGUAACGGGGCUGAAAUAUAGCACCGAAGCUGCGGCAUCAGGCGUAAGUCUGUUGGGUAGGGGAGCGUUCUGUAAGCGGAUGAAGGUUAAUCGAGAGGUUAGCUGGACGUAUCAGAAGUGCGAAUGCUGACAUAAGUAACGAUAAAACGGGUGAAAAACCCGUUCGCCGGAAGACCAAGGGUUCCUGUCCAACGUUAAUCGGGGCAGGGUGAGUCGGCCCCUAAGGCGAGGCUGAAAAGCGUAGUCGAUGGGAAACAGGUUAAUAUUCCUGUACUUGGUAAAGCUGCGAUGUGGGGACGGAGUAGGUUAGGUUAUCGCACUGUUGGAUAUGUGCGUUUAAGUUGGUAGGUGGGAAGUUUAGGCAAAUCCGGACUUCUAUUAAACACUGAGAGAUGAUGACGAGGCUCUACGGAGCUGAAGUAACUGAUACCACACUUCCAGGAAAAGCCACUAAGCGACAGGCUUUACUAAACCGUACUGAAAACCGACACAGGUGGUCAGGUAGAGAAUACUCAGGCGCUUGAGAGAACUCGGGUGAAGGAACUAGGCAAAAUAGCACCGUAACUUCGGGAGAAGGUGCGCCGGCGUAGAUUGUAGAGAUUUACUCUCGAAGGUUGAACCGGUCGAAGAUACCAGCUGGCUGCAACUGUUUAUUAAAAACACAGCACUCUGCAAACACGAAAGUGGAGGUAUAGGGUGUGAUGCCUGCCCGGUGCUGGAAGGUUAAUUGAUGGUGUAAUCGAAAGAGAAGCACCUGAUCGAAGCCCCAGUAAACGGCGGCCGUAACUAUAACGGUCCUAAGGUAGCGAAAUUCCUUGUCGGGUAAGUUCCGACCUGCACGAAUGGCAUAAUGAUGGCCAGGCUGUCUCCACCCGAGACUCAGUGAAAUUGAAAUCGCCGUGAAGAUGCGGUGUACCCGCGGCUAGACGGAAAGACCCCGUGAACCUUUACUAUAGCUUGACACUGAACAUUGAAUUUUGAUGUGUAGGAUAGGUGGGAGACUUAGAAGUAGGAACGCCAGUUUCUAUGGAGUCAUCCUUGAAAUACCACCCUUUAACGUUUGAUGUUCUAACGAAGAUUGCGGAACGUGGUCUCGGACAGUGUCUGGUGGGUAGUUUGACUGGGGCGGUCUCCUCCCAAAGCGUAACGGAGGAGCACGAAGGUUUGCUAAUCACGGUCGGACAUCGUGAGGUUAGUGCAAUGGUAUAAGCAAGCUUAACUGCGAGACAGACAAGUCGAGCAGGUACGAAAGUAGGUCAUAGUGAUCCGGUGGUUCUGAAUGGAAGGGCCAUCGCUCAACGGAUAAAAGGUACUCCGGGGAUAACAGGCUGAUACCGCCCAAGAGUUCAUAUCGACGGCGGUGUUUGGCACCUCGAUGUCGGCUCAUCACAUCCUGGGGCUGAAGUAGGUCCCAAGGGUAUGGCUGUUCGCCAUUUAAAGUGGUACGCGAGCUGGGUUUAGAACGUCGUGAGACAGUUCGGUCCCUAUCUGCCGUGGGCGUAGGAGAAUUGGUUGGGGCUGCUCCUAGUACGAGAGGACCGGAGUGGACGCACCACUGGUGUUCCGGUUGUGUCGCCAGACGCAUUGCCGGGUAGCUAAGUGCGGAAGAGAUAAGUGCUGAAAGCAUCUAAGCACGAAACUUGCCAAGAGAUGAGUUCUCCCUGUCUUUAAGACAGUAAGGGUUGUUUAAGACGAAGACGUAGAUAGGUCUGGUGUGUAAGUGAUGUGAGUCAUUGAGCUAACAGAUACUAAUUGCCCGAGAGGCUUAACUAU